AUUGAACGCUGGCGGCAUGCCUUACACAUGCAAGUCGAACGGUAACAGGUCUUCGGAUGCUGACGAGUGGCGAACGGGUGAGUAAUACAUCGGAACGUGCCUAGUAGUGGGGGAUAACUACUCGAAAGAGUGGCUAAUACCGCAUGAGAUCUACGGAUGAAAGCAGGGGAUCGCAAGACCUUGUGCUACUAGAGCGGCCGAUGGCAGAUUAGGGAGUUGGUGGGAUAAAAGCUUACCAAGCCGACGAUCUGUAGCUGGUCUGAGAGGACGAUCAGCCACACUGGGACUGAGACACGGCCCAGACUCCUACGGGAGGCAGCAGUGGGGAAUUUUGGACAAUGGGAGCAAGCCUGAACCAGCAAUGCCGCGUGCAGGAUGAAGGCCUUCGGGUUGUAAACUGCUUUUGUACGGAACGAAAAGCCCCGGGUUAAUACCCUGGGGUCAUGACGGUACCGUAAGAAUAAGCACCGGCUAACUACGUGCCAGCCGCCGCCGUAA
rnacentral:rRNA from 1 species